CCUAUAUAUACGGCUAACCACCCAAGAGAGUAGAAGUCGUCCCUUUAUGGGCUCAAAUUUAGAACGAUAUAGUAAAGCUUAUUGCCAAAGACUUAAACUACUUUGUAGUAAAAGUGAUAAUACGAUAGCUAUAUCGGAAUGGUUUGCCGUAUGACCAAGAUUGAAAUAUCUAAACACGAUGAGAUAAUAGAGUUGGAGCCACUUCUACUCAUAUUAUUUUUUACGGUAAA
ncrna:unclassified sequences IS605-orfB-I RNA